rnacentral:rRNA from 1 species
CCCCAGUAACGGCGAGUGAAGCGGGAACGGCUCAAAUUUGAAAUCUCCGACGCCUGCGUCGGCGAGUUGUAGUUGCGAGAAGCACUUUCUCGGCGGAUCGGAUGCGCCCAAGUUGCUUGGAACAGUACGUCGCAGAGGGUGACAACCCCGUCCGCGGCGCGUCCGGCCGCCCACGAUGCGCUUUCGAAGAGUCGGGUUGUUUGGGAAUGCAGCCCAAAACGGGUGGUAAACUCCAUCUAAAGCUAAAUACUGACGUGAGACCGAUAGCGAACAAGUACCGUGAGGGAAAGAUGAAAAGAACUUUGAAAAGAGAGUUAAAGAGUACGUGAAACCGUUGGAAGGGAAACGAAUGGACUCAGCAAUGCGCCGUUUGAGAUUCAGCCGGCCGGCGGGGUCGGCUCGGGGUUUGCGGAUCCGAACGGACCGCGGUCUCGGGCUCGUCCUCGUCGACCGUCGCACUUCUCUUGGGCGCGCGUCAACGUCGGUCGGUUCUGGGUCUGAAGGGUUCCGGGAAGGUGAGUCCGCGCGUUCUCUUUGAGGCGCGCGUUCCGUUUACAGCCCGGUUCUCGGAUUGGCUCGGAGUCGACCGAGGCGGUCGCAGCGCAUGCCUCUCGUGGCUGGGGUCCCGUCGCUCCGGCCGGUCGUCGACCGCGGUGGACUGCUUGCAGUGCUCCGCGACUGCUGCCGGUCGUUGGGGCGGU